ACAUCUAAGGAAGGCAGCAGGCGCGUAAAUUACCCAAUCCUGAUACGGGGAGGUAGUGACAAAAAAUAACAAUACGGGGCCAUUGGUCUUGUAAUGGAAUGAGUACAAUCUAAAUCCCUUAACGAGGAUCAAUUGGAGGGCAAGUCUGGUGCCAGCAGCCGCGGUAAUUCCAGCUCCAAUAGCGUAUAUUAACGUUGUUGCAGUUAAAAAGCUCGUAGUUGGAUUUCUGACAGGAGUGACCGGUCCGAGUCGCAAGACUCGUGUACUUUUGCGUCUUACUCUAGUCAUCCUUAUGGAGAUUGUGUUUCGGCAUUGAGUUGUCGGGCAUAGGACCCAUAUCGUUUACUGUGAAAAAA
rnacentral:rRNA from 1 species